GCAAUCUUGAGGUUUCAGGAUUCCUGGAUAGGAGGUCAAAUGGGGCAUGUCCUGUCCCAGGCAAAUAUUUUUCAGCAUCAUCUGGACAGCUGCAGCUGCUACUGGCUUGUCUUGAGCAUGACUGUUGGACAAGGAUGCUGUCUUCUAAGUGUCCUGCUUUGGAAAGCCUGCAGAACCAUAAGCCCCCACUCCACACCCACCCACCAUCAUCUUCCCUGGUUUACUGGACCUUAUUUAGUUUCUCUAAUUUAAAUGGAUCUGAAUUCUACUGGGGGUGACAAGGAAUGGUGGCCACCCCAUGACAUCACACUUGCCUCCUGCCUCCCUCAGUCCCACCCAAGGAUUUCCGGGCUUCACUCCUAAUGGUGAGUCUCCUUAG
rnacentral:lncRNA from 1 species